AACUCACCAACAUAGCAUCAUUUCAUCAAAUACAUUAACAAAUCCAUAACAUAUUCGAUUCGGGGUCUCGUCAGAACAUAAGCGAAAAUGGAACAAGCAAUAUGAACAUCAAAUCAACCAAACCAAAAGAGAAGUUUCAGACAUAGACAACCAUGGUUGCGAGCAAAAGUUUGAAAAGAAAGAGAAACAAACUGGACCUUUAACGGCGAACGUACGUUUCCGGCGAGCGAGAGGAGCGAAACUGGAUCUUGGUAAAAUGAUUUCUCCCUUUUCUUUUGCUAAUCG
rnacentral:lncRNA from 1 species